CAUAACAGCAAAAUUACAGUUAUGAAGUAGC
rnacentral:piRNA from 2 species